rnacentral:rRNA from 1 species
UACAGAGGUCUCAAGCGUUGUUCGGAUUCAUUGGGCGUAAAGGGCGCGUAGGCGGCGGGGUAAGUCGGGUGUGAAAUCUCAGAGCUCAACUCUGAAAUGGCACUUGAUACUGCUCUGCUAGAGGACUGGAGAGGAGAUUGGAAUUCAUGGUGUAGCAGUGAAAUGCGUAGAGAUCAUGAGGAAGACCAGUGGCGAAGGCGGGUCUCUGGACAGUUCCGUGACAGCUGAGACACGGAGGGCCCAGGGGAGCAAACGGG